rnacentral:rRNA from 1 species
CCUACGGGAGGCAGCAGUGAGGAAUAUUGGGCAAUGGGCUUACGCCUGAACCAGCCAAGUCGCGUGAGGGAAGACUGACCUAUGGGUUGUAAAGCUCUUUGGUCAGGGAGCAAUUGGCGCUAAGUGUAGCGUUAUCGAGAGUACCUGAAGAAAAAGAAUGGGCAAACUCCGUGCGAGCAGCCGCGGUAAUACGGAGGAUGCGAGCGUAAUCCGGAUUUAAUGGGGUGAAAGGGUGCGUAGGCGCAAUGCCAAGUCAGCGGUAAAAUCGCGGGGCUCAAACUCGCUCCGCCGUUGAAACUGGCGUUGUUGAGUGGGCGAGAAGUAUGCGGGAUGCGUGGUGUAGCGGUGAAAUGCAUAGAUAUCACGCAGAACUCCGAUUGCGAAGGCAGCAUACCGGCGCCCAACUGACGCUGAAGCACGAAAGCGUGGGUAUCGAACAGGAUUAGAUACCCCUGUAGUC